GGCGGCGUNCCUAACACAUGCAAGUCGGACGCGAAAGCUCCUUCGGGAGUGAGUAGAGUGGCGCACGGGUGAGUAACGCGUAGGUAAUCUACCUCUGGAUUGGGGAUAACUCUGCGAAAGCGGAGCUAAUACCGAAUGGUCUGGCUUUAUUUUGAUGAAGUCGGUAAAGGAUGCCUCUGCAUAUGCAUCUGUCCGGAGAUGAGCCUGCGUCCCAUUAGCUAGUUGGUAGGGUAAAGGCCUACCAAGGCGACGAUGGGUAGCUGGUCUGAGAGGAUGAUCAGCCACACUGGAACUGGAACACGGUCCAGACUCCUACGGGAGGCAGCAGUGGGGAAUAUUGGGCAAUGGGCGCAAGCCUGACCCAGCAACGCCGUGUGAGGGAUGAAGGCCUUCGGGUCGUAAACCUCUGUCAGAAGGGAAGAACGGGCACAGUUCGAAUAGGGCUGUGUUUUGACGGUACCUUCAGAGGAAGCACCGGCUAACUCCGUGCCAGCAGCCGCGGUAAUACGGAGGGUGCGAGCGUUAUUCGGAAUCACUGGGCGUAAAGGGCGCGUAGGCGGCCUGGUAAGUCAGGGGUGAAAUCCCACGGCUCAACCGUGGAAUUGCCUUUGAAACUGCUGGGCUUGGAUCCUGGAGAGGGUGGCGGAAUUCCUGGUGUAGGAGUGAAAUCCGUAGAUAUCAGGAGGAACACCGGUGGCGAAGGCGGCCACCUGGACAGGUAUCGACGCUGAGGCGCGAAAGUGUGGGGAGCAAACAGGAUUAGAUACCCUGGUAGUCCACACCGUAAACGAUGGAUACUAGGUGUUGGGGGCAUGACCCUCAGUGCCGGANCU
rnacentral:rRNA from 1 species